GGGUGAAGUGCUAUGUGCUAGCUUCCAUGUCAAACGAGUUAUAGAGCCAGCAUGAGCACAUGCCCACUGCUCGUGCCAUGAUCACUCACCUGCAAAAGUUAUACGGUGAGCAAAGCCAAACUGUGCACUUCAAGUUAUCCAAGUAGUUGUUCAAUAUGAAGAUGUGCGACAGGCAGUCAGUCCACAAUCAUUAUAUGACA
rnacentral:lncRNA from 1 species